ACAAAUGUCAUCAAAUGUCAUAUGUGAAUUAUUUAUUAUUUUUUUAUUAUAAUUAAUGUACUUGUAGCAAAUACAUUAGACUGUAAUUAGAGUCUAAUUAGCUUUAAUUAGAGUCUUAAUUAGUAGUUUGUAGGCUUAUUUUCUUUUAAAAUGCCUCAUCACGGUUCUGUGCAGUAAUUGAUUGUUUGCUUACAUGGAGAAAUAGUGAAGUGAAAUUCUUUCGUUUUCCUAAACUCUAAACCCCAAAUGAGGAUAGACAAAAGAAAUAAAUGGAUUAAAGCUAUUCGGAAACAAAAUCUAUAUGGAGCGAACUGGAUUCCAAGACAUACUGAUAGAAUAUGCAGUGCACAUUUUGUUGGAAAUAUGACAUCAAAUGAUCUCAUCCCAGUUAUGUACCAACAAUAUUUCCAAAGGAUUACAAACCAAAGAUAAUUAAUCCAGAUGCUACUUUAAACAGGUUUAAUCGAUUGAAUGAACGCAGUGCUAAAAAAGUUAUUGAAAUGAACUCUUCAAAGAUUUCUAUAGGAAUAUGGUUAGAUAAGUGUGGAUUUAUUGGAGGCAGCCCUGAUGGAUUAUGUGAAGAUGACUACCAUCAACACCAAGUGCCUUUACAAGUUGAGGGAGUCCAACAAAUCUUUGGUUAAUGAUAUGUAUUAUAGGAACUAUAUCGUAUAUGUUAAUGAAAAAAAAAAUACAAGUAGUACUGAACACAAAGUGCGGUUAAUACAACCAAAUUCAAGGCAAAUUUAACAAAAAGGAAGGUGUGCCACUUAGUGAUAUUAAUGCCUUCAGAAUCGAUCAUGUAUGAUGUCAGUGUCGAAAGAUUCUGGGAAAACAAUAUAAUAUUAUUAAAAACAUUUUAUUUGAAUAAAUAAGUAUACAGCAGAACCUCGAUUAUCCGUCAGGGCACCGGACCAAGGGUAUGACGGAUGAUUGAAAAGACGGUUAACAGAACAUUAAAAAAAAAUUAAAAAUUCAUAGUACAACUUUCAAAUUUCAUUUGUAUGUUUUGUUUGACAAUAUAAGAGGGAUUUGUGUUGUACAAUCGAAUCAAUUUAAAAUAUUCUGAAGUCUUUUGUUUGUUUUACUGUUGCUUCACAUUUUGCGACGGCUGAAUUUCUUAAUCAGCGUAAGAUCACAUGCAAUCUACUUUAUUGGCUUCUUCUUGUUGAGAAUACCACUCGAUGAAUUAUUGCACGUGCAAUGCAGCUUCUCUAGGUUAUUGAGGCAAAUCUUUGUCAGUUACAAUAGGUUCAUCAACAUAUCUACAAUCAAAUUACAAGUCUGUGUCAGCUUCUGAAUCUGUUUGGUCCGCCUUUGUUGCCAUUUCAAUGAUUCCUUUAUCUGUCAGCAAUAAAUAGCCGUUUGUGUCCUCAUCACAAAUCAAAUUAACUUUUUUUAUUUUUUUCAAUUAAAAUUUUUGCUUAUGUAAUCAAUACAACGUCUGUAUGUACCCUGACGGUUAACAGAGGUGACGGUUAAUGGAGAGACGGAUAAUCGAGGUUCCACUGUAUUUAUAGCAUUUUCAUGUGGAAAUAAAACACUUUAAAAUA
rnacentral:lncRNA from 1 species